rnacentral:rRNA from 1 species
UACAGAGGUCUCAAGCGUUGUUCGGAUUCAUUGGGCGUAAAGCGCGCGUAGGCGGUCUGUAAGUCGGGUGUGAAAGCCCGGGCUCAACCCGGGAAGUGCACUCGAAACUGCGAGGCUAGAGUACUGGAGAGGUGGUGGAAUUCUCGGUGUAGAGGUGAAAUUCGUAGAUAUCGAGAGGAACACCGGUGGCGAAGGCGGCCAACUGGACAGAUACUGACGCUGAGACACGAAAGCGUGGGGAGCAAACAGG